rnacentral:rRNA from 1 species
UACGUAGGGUGCAAGCGUUAAUCGGAAUUACUGGGCGUAAAGCGUGCGCAGGCGGUUAUGUAAGACAGGUGUGAAAUCCCCGGGCUUAACCUGGGAACUGCAUUUGUGACUGCAUAGCUAGAGUACGGCAGAGGGGGAUGGAAUUCCGCGUGUAGCAGUGAAAUGCGUAGAGAUGUGGAGGAACACCGAUGGCGAAGGCAGCCCCCUGGGCUAACACUGACGCUCAUGCACGAAAGCGUGGGGAGCAAACAGG